UGUCAGCUUCUGGAUCCGUACAGCUUUUUUGCAUGGCGAUCUUGUUGACUUUUUGUUUUAGAAUCAAAGACAAUGGUUUGAAUAUACAUUUUCUGCCAGGUUUUGGUGAAUAUUCAUGAUUUUGUAGCUGAAGGAUACGAGAGUUAGGUUGGUUAUGUUGAAAUGUAGGACGGAAAAUUUCCCGUUUGUAAGAUCUCUACUUCCAGUUUGUAUAUCUCAAGUUUUCCAUGAUGAACCUCAUACGUGCUUUUAAGGAAGAGGUUGUCACAUAUUGCUCCAUCUGUGGUAGAAAGCGUUCUAUCCAACAAAAAUGUGGGCAAAUAUUAGAGCCGGUUUAAGAGACGGGGAUUAAGUCAACGGGGAAUACGUUGUUGAUCUGUGACAUUGGGGAUGCUCGAUUCACAGUCCAGAACGUCCCGAAUUGACAGAAUUGCAAUCGAGUAACGCGGAAUUCAGUUCUGUCACAGUUCUGUCAGUCCCAACAACGGGGGUGGUGUGAGUAGAAUCGUGACGUAAUUAAAAGGUUUCGGCUGCACGACGGGUUGGUUGAGAUAUUUACUUAUUCAGUCAACGCAUGCGCUGUAGCGCGAAAUCCACCUUUUCACUCUUUUGUCACUGUUUUUGGAAUUGAAGGAAUUCAAUUCCGGAACGUUCAAUCGAGUACCCUCCAUAUUAUGAUCAAGGGGCGGUUACUCUAAUUUACAAACGGAAUCAGACCACAAUUAAUUUCCCCCGUGGACUAUUUUCCCGAAUCCAACUUUCUCCAAAUUUCCGUUAGGCUGAACGCUUUUCACUACAGACGGAGCAACAUGUCACAAUCCUCUGGACUUGAAAGAUGAUUGCCAUUCGUGUGUUUGCAAAUAAAAUAAAAUACUGUGAUAUCUCUCCUGUGGAAGCAGACGUUUUUCUACCUUGACCUACCUAGUAACACUAAUAGAGUAGCCCUACUACUGUCGUACUGAAAAGAAAUUCUUCGAAACUUCCCAGUUGUUUUGUAACCAUGAAGAUUUGUGGACUAUCAACUAUUCUGAGAUGUUUUCAUCAGAUGCCAAGACAUUAUUGUCAAAAUAAAAUUCAAAUGAGACACCUUGCUAAUAAUAAAAGCUCAACAAAAAGAAAAGGUGUUCAUACUACAAGAGUGCCAGCAGAAAAAGAGGAUAUGUCACUUAUAAGGAACAUAGGAAUUUUGGCCCACAUUGAUGCUGGUAAAACUACCACUACAGAAAGAAUGCUAUAUUAUACAGGCUUGUCUACACAUUUGGGUGAAGUACACCAUGGUGAUACAGUUAUGGAUUAUAUGGAACAAGAAAGGGUUAGAGGAAUUACAAUUAGUUCAGCAGCUAUAACAUUACAUUGGAAUAAAUAUAAAAUAAAUCUAAUAGAUACACCAGGUCAUGUAGAUUUUACUGUGGAAGUAGAAAGAUGUUUAAGGGUAUUAGAUGGGGCUGUUGUGGUUCUUGAUUCUUCAGCAGGGGUUGAAGCACAAACAAAAACAGUAUGGAGGCAAGCGGACAAGUAUUCAAUUCCUAGGAUAGUCUAUUUAAACAAAAUGGACAAACCUGGAGCUUCUAUUGAAAAAUGUCUUACUUCACUAAAAGAAAAACUCAAUGUUGAACCCUUGCUUCUCCAUCUACCAGUCGGAAAGGAAGUCGAUUUUGCAGGGAUUGUAGACCUAGUCACUUUAAAGAAAUUUGUUUGGAAUCUGGAGAAAUCACCAGACGGACGAACAUUUUCUACAGAAAAUCUAACAGCAGCAGAUACGUCAGUAGAUUAUCAUGACAUCUUGCAAGCUAGAACAAGUCUUAUUGGUCAGUUGUCUGAAUAUGAUGGAGAAUUAGGAGAAAUGAUUUUAAGUUAUAAGAAAAUAAAAGAUAUUCCUGCAAAUGCUAUAUCUAAAGCUGUUCGAAAAGUUACAAUUGAUCAAAAUUGUGUACCAGUUUUCUGUGGUAGUUCACUUAAAAAUAAAGCUGUUCAACCAUUAAUGGAUGCUGUAACACACUAUCUACCAAGUCCUUUAGAUUCAACUUACAGCUUUGCAGAUUUUUACGGAAGUGACCUGUGUGCUUUAGCAUUUAAGAUAAUUCAUGACAAACAGCGUGGUGCUUUGACAUUUUUACGUUUGUAUUCUGGCUCUUUGAAGUCUGGUGAAUCUUCAUAUAAUGUAAAUCGUGAGUGUACAGAGAAAACUAGCAGACUUUUACAUGUAUAUGCUAAUGAAUAUCAUGACACAAAUAAGGUUACAGCAGGAAAUAUUGCUUGUGUUUCUGGUUUAAAGGAGAUUAUAACUGGAGAUACUUUGACCAAUUCCAAAUCUACAGCUUUAGCUGCUGCUACCAAAUAUCAUACAAAGAUGAAUAUGGAAGCUGAUAAUAAUAAUAAUAAUUUGGCUAUUUUAGCAGGUUUUGAAGUACCGUCUCCAGUUUUCUUCUGCUCAAUAGAACCACCAUCAUUAGCAGCACAAAAACAUCUAGACAAUGCCUUAUACUGCCUUCAGCGUGAAGAUCCCAGCUUGACCGUUGAGGUGAAUGAAGAAACUGGACAAACUAUUUUAAUGGGAAUGGGUGAAUUACAUCUAGAUAUUAUAAAACAGAGAAUUCUAGAAGAAUAUAGAAUUGCUGUUGAUAUUGGACCCCCACAAGUAGCUUAUAGAGAAACCAUCGCUUGUAACGCUGAACUUGAGGAAAAUCUUGACAAAAUAAUAGGAGGGAAGGAACAGAAUGUUACGAUGAUGCUUUCAAUAAAACAAGACGGAUCUACUCCUAAAUUUAAACAUGUUAAAUUAGAAUUUUCUCAUGCGAAACCUUUACAUCGCCAUAUAAAAAAAGAUCAACUUGCAGCUCUUAAUAAUGGAGUUAAAUCAGCAUUAAUGUGCGGAACUUUGCUUAAUUUUCCUGUAACAGAUGUAUGUGUAGAGUUGCAUAGUUUUACAGCAGGAUAUAAUACAUCAUCAGCCAUGAUAUCGGCGUGUGCUAGUCAAUGCAUACACAAAUUAUUAAAACAAUCAGAUCCAGUUUUAUUAGAACCAAUGAUGGCUUUAACAGUUAAUCAAGAUUGCUUUGAUUGGUGCAAAAAGUCUCUGACCUCAAAUAUGAUACUAUAUUUAGAAAGAGGAUUCCCCAUCCUACAUUUGCAUAGCAAACAUGGCUGAGGUAAUUUGGCAAGUGAGGAAAAUACGAGCGUGCAAAAGUUAUUAACCUUGCUAAUUGCAUCAGCGAAGAAAGUUUUUGAAAAUUUGUUUGAUAUACCGAUAACAACUAAUGAGGAUAGAUUACAUGGUGUAUUAGGUGAUUUAACAAAACGUCGUAGUCACAUACGAAAUGUUGAAGCUACAGACAAUGAUAAAAUAAUAGAGGCUGUAACACCUCUAGCAGAAUUAAUGGGAUA